rnacentral:misc_RNA from 1 species
GAAGCUCCCUACCAGGAUAAGCCAGUCUCCACAAUUGUUUAAGUGCAUCCUGAAAGUCAAAAGAAAACCAAUUUCUCAUUCUAACUUCAAAAUAUAAAGGCCAUUAUGUAGGGUUACUCUAAUGGAAGGCUGUUCCUGUUUCAACAGUCCCCAGAGCCGAUUAAAUAAUGACUAAUAUUCAACACUAUUGGAUGAAGUGGGCACUCUUAAGAUUCAAACUUCCACACUUGUGCUUGGUAGCAUAAACUUUGACAUGAUAAUCCCUGACAUCAGAAACUAAAGAAGUUCUUGAUAAUUUUCUCCCUUGUGAUCAUCAGCAACUAGUUUCAGUAGGUUUUGUCCAUAACACUUUGGUAAAAAGGCCUCAAUAUUGAGAGUAGUAAACACCAUCUUCAAAAAAAGUUUUUCCUCGAAAAAUUUUAUUCAAAAACACUCCUGGGAAAAAAAAAAAUCCUUCUUAAAGCAUGUUUAAAUUAAUGGAGGGUAUUUAUAAAAUUCACAAUUUUUUAAAUUUUUUAUAGCUUUGAUGAACAAAAAAGGGUAUAAAAGCCAAACCAAAAGACUAAAUUGUUAAUGGAAUCAAAUACUGAGAACUAACUAAUUCAAUUUUAAAAUUACAUGAGCCAAGUAACUAAUUUUUGUCACACAUUAGGAACUAAAACAUAAUUUAUAAAAGCUCAACUAGUAUUCUAGCCUACAAGAGUCUAUGCCCAUAAAAUGAAAUGGUCAGGUAAUGUAUGAAUUUAUGGACUCAGUAGAGCCUAAUGCUUUUGCAUAAAUGCAAAUAUGGACAUCACCGAUGAUUCACAGAUCUAAUAAGGCAUAUCAGAAAAUCACUUGAAAUGGUGAUACAGUUAUUGUCAAUUGUAAUCCUCAAUGUAUGUAAAUUAUCAACCACCUAAAAAACAAAAAAGCAGAAAAGAGAAAGGUGCAGUUCAAGUGAAGGGUUUUGCAGCUUAUUGAGGUGUGUAUUCAUAAAUCUUUCCUUCAAUUAAAAGGAAAACCUGAUUUCAAUGAGUAAGUUGCAUACUCGUUCCUUUGAAUGCAAAGAAUGAUUUUAAUCAGUAAGUCAAAUCAACAGCAACUUCAACAACUAAAAGGAAAUUUAACCUACCAAGACUUCAUAUCAAGUAAUGAUAAAAAAUGAGAAAAUGAAGAGGACCUACUUGAUGCUC